AUACGAAGGGGGCUAGCGUUGUUCGGAUUUACUGGGCGUAAAGCGCACGUAGGCGGAUUGAUAAGUUAGGGGUGAAAUCCCGAGGCUCAACCUCGGAACUGCCUCUAAUACUGUCAAUCUCGAGACCGGAAGAGGUGAGUGGAACUCCUAGUGUAGAGGUGGAAUUCGUAGAUAUUAGGAAGAAAACCAGUGGCGAAGGCGGCUCACUGGUCCGGUACUGACGCUGAGGUGCGAAAGCGUGGGGAGCGAACAGGAUUAGAAACCCUAGUAGUCC
rnacentral:rRNA from 1 species